rnacentral:hammerhead_ribozyme from 13 species
CAGGCGUCUGGGGGGUAGGGGUCGUCUACCGUCAGCCCCACUGACGAGUCUUGGUAGACGAUUCCCGAGACGAAACGCUGU